rnacentral:lncRNA from 1 species
AAAACAGAUUCCAACAACCUAACAGGCAUAAACUCAGAUGAAGUCAAAAUUCCAUUCCACCCAUAUUACACAAUUAAAGGUAUCAUAGGAGUUUUUAUAAUAGUUCUCCUUUCAAUAACCCCAGACUUCUCCUUCUAAUAAUCCCAGACCUCCAAGAAGACCCUGACAACUACUUACCAGCUAAGCCACUCAACACCCCACCCUGA